CUGGAAGCUAACAGUAGCGCGCAAGCUAGCAGCCGGUGGACAGCAACCAGCAGACUGUAAUGUUCAAGCAAAUUACAUCACCAGAGAAGGUGCUAGAAAGACAAGCUAUGUCUUGUUAGAAAGAUUUUCCCGUCACCACUGAAUCCUUGUGGACAGGAUCCACAGAUGAAGGAGCCCAUUGUGUUGCUGCAGCUCACUGCAGGGAAGCAUGGCUGGAGAAGGCACUCGUCAAUAUCUUCUCUACAUGCAGACUAAAGCCCAGCUCCUCCUACCCGUCAUUCCAGGAGGGCAGACGCAGGAAAAAGAGUUGGGUCCAUCGAUGCAGCGGCCCAGUCUGCAGGGGUUUGGUUUGCAGUCAUCUAUGUCGACCUCACAUC